CCUACGGGGGGCAGCAGUAGGGAAUCUUUCACAAUGGGCGAAAGCCUGAUGGAGCACCGCCGCGUGCAGGAUGAAGGCCUUCGGGUUGUAAACUGCUUUUAUAAGCGAGAAAUAUGAUGGUAACUUAUGAAUAAGGAUCGGCUAACUACGUGCCAGCAGCCGCGGUCAUACGUAGGAUCCGAGCAUUAUCCGGAGUGACUGGGUGUAAAGAGUUGCGUAGGUGGCAUAAUAAGUAGCUAGUGAAAUCUGGUGGCUCAACCAUUCAGACUAUUAGCUAAACUGUUAAGCUCGAGACCGUUAGGGGUAACUGGAAUUUCUAGUGUAGGAGUGAAAUCCGUAGAUAUUAGAAGGAACACCAAUAGCGUAGGCAGGUUGCUGGGACGGUUCUGACACUAAGGCACGAAAGCGUAGGGAGCAAACGGGAUUAGAUACCCCAGUAGUC
rnacentral:rRNA from 1 species